rfam:Macaca mulatta chromosome 1, whole genome shotgun sequence.
GCCGGGCGUGGUGGCUCACGCCUGUAAUCCCAGCACUCGGGGAGGCCAAGACGGGUGGAUCACCUCAGGUCAGGAGUUCGAGACCAGCCUGACCAACAUGGUGAAACCCCGUCUUUA